UGGCUGUUACAAAGGGUAGCUAAAGCGUAAGCUUCUGGCGAAUCUCAAAAAAGCAGUCUCAGUUCGGAUUGAAGUCUGCAACUCGACUUCAUGAAGUUGGAAUCGCUAGUAAUCGCGAAUCAGCAUGUCGCGGUGAAUACGUUCUCGGGGUUUGUACACACCGCCCGUCAAACCACGAAAGUUGGCAAUACCCAAAGCCGGUGGCCUAACUUGAGCAAUCAAGAAGGAGCCGUCUAAGGUAGGGUUGAUGAUUGGGGUUAAGUCGUAACAAGGUAUCCCUACCGGAAGGUGGGGAUGGAUCACCUCCUUUCUAAGGAUAAAGUUAUCAUCUUCAGUUUUGAGAGACUUAAGAAAGUUUUUCAUUUUUUAAGAUUCGGGCCUAUAGCUCAGCUGGUUAGAGCACACGCCUGAUAAGCGUGAGGUCGGUGGUUCAAGUCCAUUUAGGCCCACCAAAAUA
rnacentral:misc_RNA from 1 species